rnacentral:rRNA from 1 species
AACACAUGCAAGUCGCGGGGUAACAGUGGAGCUUGCUCCAGCUGACGACCGGCGCACGGGUGCGUAACGCGUAUGAAAUCUGGCCCAGACAGGAGGACAGCCCGGGGAAACCCGGAUUAAUACUCCAUAAUACUUUUAGACACAUGUUUGGAAGUUGAAAGCUCCGGCGGUCUGGGAUGAUCAUGUGUGCCAUUAGUUAGUUGGUGAGGCAACGGCUCACCAAGACAUCGAUGGCUAGGGGUCCUGAGAGGGCUACCCCCCACACUGGUACUGAGACACGGACCAGACUCCUACGGGAGGCAGCAGUGAGGAAUAUUGGUCAAUGGGCGCAAGCCUGAACCAGCCAUGCCGCGUGCAGGAAGACUGCCCUAUGGGUUGUAAACUGCUUUUCUGCAGGAGGAAUGUGCCUAUGCGUAGGCAAUUGACAGUACUGCAGGAAUAAGCAUCGGCUAACUCCGUGCCAGCAGCCGCGGUAAUACGGAGGAUGCGAGCGUUAUCCGGAUUUAUUGGGUUUAAAGGGUGCGCAGGCUGGCAUGUAAGUCAGCGGUGAAAACCUCCAGCUUAACUGGGGGCGUGCCGUUGAUACUGCAUGUCUUGAGUAUGUUUGAUGUUGGCGGAAUGCGACAAGUAGCGGUGAAAUGCAUAGAUAUGUCGCAGAACACCGAUAGCGAAGGCAGCUGACAGAGGCAUAACUGACGCUGAGGCACGAAAGCGUGGGUAGCGAACAGGAUUAGAUACCCUGGUAGUCCACGCCGUAAACGAUGAUAGCUGGACGUUUGUGCAAUUGAGCACAAGUGUCUGAGGGAAACCAUUAAGCUAUCCACCUGGGGAGUACGCCGGCAACGGUGAAACUCAAAGGAAUUGACGGGGGCCCGCACAAGCGGUGGAACAUGUGGUUUAAUUCGAUGAUACGCGAGGAACCUUACCUGGGCUUAAAUGGUAUCUGCAUAAGCCAGAGACGGCUUUUUCCUUCACGGGACUGAUAUCAAGGUGCUGCAUGGCUGUCGUCAGCUCGUGCCGUGAGGUGUCGGGUUAAGUCCCAUAACGAGCGCAACCCCUACCGCCAGUUGCCAUCAGGUAAUGCUGGGGACUCUGGCGGGACUGCCACCGUAAGGUGCGAGGAAGGCGGGGAUGACGUCAAGUCAGCACGGCCCUUACGUCCAGGGCUACACACGUGUUACAAUGGCACCUACAGAGGGCAGCCAGGCAGCGAUGCCGAGCGAAUCUCAAAAAGGUGUCCCAGUUCGGAUUGGAGUCUGCAACCCGACUCCAUGAAGGUGGAAUCGCUAGUAAUCGCGUAUCAGCAAUGACGCGGUGAAUACGUUCCCGGGCCUUGUACACACCGCCCGUCAAGCCAUGGAAGCUGGGGGUAUCUGAAGACUGCCGCCGCAAGGAGCGGUCAAGGGUAAAACCGGUAACUGGGGCUAAGUCGUAACAAGGUA